CACGUAGGGGGCAAGCGUUGUCCGGAUUUAUUGGGCGUAAAGAGCUCGUAGGUGGUUCGGUAAGUCAGGUGUGAAACCUCCAGGCUCAACCUGGAGACGCCACUUGAUACUGCUGUGACUGGAGUCCGGUAGGGGAGCGUGGAAUUCCUGGUGUAGCGGUGAAAUGCGUAGAUAUCGGAAGGAACACCAGUGGCGAAAGCGGCUUCCUGGUCCAGCACCGACGUUCAGGCACGAAAGCGUGGGGAGCAAACAGG
rnacentral:rRNA from 1 species